rnacentral:rRNA from 1 species
CGAAUGGCUCAUUAAAUCAGUUAUCGUUUAUUUGAUAGUACCUUACUACUUGGAUAACCGUGGUAAUUCUAGAGCUAAUACAUGCUAAAAACCCCGACUUCGGGAGGGGUGUAUUUAUUAGAUAAAAAACCAACGCCCUUCGGGGCUUCUUGGUGAUUCAUGAUAACUUAACGAAUCGCAUGGCCUUGCGCCGGCGAUGGUUCAUUCAAAUUUCUGCCCUAUCAACUUUCGAUGGUAGGAUAGUGGCCUACCAUGGUAUCAACGGGUAACGGGGAAUUAGGGUUCUAUUCCGGAGAGGGAGCCUGAGAAACGGCUACCACAUCCAAGGAAGGCAGCAGGCGCGCAAAUUACCCAAUCCCGACACGGGGAGGUAGUGACAAUAAAUACUGAUACAGGGCUCUUUUGGGUCUUGUAAUUGGAAUGAGUACAAUUUAAAUCCCUUAACGAGGAACAAUUGGAGGGCAAGUCUGGUGCCAGCAGCCGCGGUAAUUCCAGCUCCAAUAGCGUAUAUUAAAGUUGUUGCAGUUAAAAAGCUCGUAGUUGAACCUUGGGCCUGGCUGGCCGGUCCGCCUCACCGCGUGCACUGGUCCGGCCGGGCCUUUCCUUCUGGGGAGCCGCAUGCCCUUCACUGGGUGUGUCGGGGAACCAGGACUUUUACUUUGAAAAAAUUAGAGUGUUCAAAGCAGGCCUUUGCUCGGAUACAUUAGCAUGGAAUAAUAGAAUAGGACGUGCGGUCCUAUUUUGUUGGUUUCUAGGACCGCCGUAAUGAUUAAUAGGGAUAGUCGGGGGCAUCAGUAUUCAAUUGUCAGAGGUGAAAUUCUUGGAUUUAUUGAAGACUAACUACUGCGAAAGCAUUUGCCAAGGAUGUUUUCAUUAAUCAGUGAACGAAAGUUAGGGGAUCGAAGACGAUCAGAUACCGUCGUAGUCUUAACCGUAAACUAUGCCGACUAGGGAUCGGGCGAUGUUAUCAUUUUGACUCGCUCGGCACCUUACGAGAAAUCAAAGUCUUG